rnacentral:misc_RNA from 1 species
UCUUCUAAGAUAUAACAAGCAAGAGAAUUUCAUAACAUAUGUAUAUAAGAAUUUGUAGUAUAUUGUAGAAGUACUCUUUAAUUAAAGAUUUUUUAGUCUUUAGAAUUGAAAACGCAAACUAAAUAUGUUUCUUUUAUUGAAAUUCACAUUAAUAAUUUUAAUAAAUAAGACGUACGCGUAUAUCACACAAGAUAGUGAAAUAAUAUUGCUGCCGGCAUGGAACCCGACAGGAGCAAAAGAGAUACCAUUAACAUUAAAAGUUUUCGGGAAAUUAAUGCAGCUAAACCUGCGUAGGAACGAUCAGAUUAUGUUGCCUGCGUUUGAAGCAAGGAAAUAUAACGCAAAAAUUAUCAGAGAAAAGCUAUCGCAAUUAAAAGCAUCAGAUCCUUGCUUCUUUCUUCACGAGAAUCAUGUCAGCUCUGCGGCCAUCAACUUUUGCCAAGAACAUGGAUUGAAAGGACUCAUUUUUGUGGAAAAUGACAUAAUAGAGAUUUGGUCUUUGCGGAACGUGUUAGCAUCUCUGUCCUUCAUCGACGACGUUUGCGUUAGAGAACAAAUCAAUCAAUCAUUCGGCAAACCUCACCUUAUUAAAAGAUUAGUCCAAUAUUAUAGCCAUUCAAAUUUUUAUCCUUUGGACAAUCUUCAACGGAAGCCACGUUAUGUAGAAAAUAAAAAGAUGAGUGAUGAAUAUAUCAUAGAACUGGCUGUUUUCGUUGACACAGAUGCAUAUCUCAAGUUCAUGUAUUAUUUGGACAACGAUAUCAAAAAGAUACGCAAUAUGAUGUUAGAGUAUGUGAAAAAGAUUCAGUAUUUUUAUCACCAUCCAAGUUUGGGUGUUCGUAUCGGUAUUUCUUUGGUAAAUUUAACGAUUUUGGAAACAGAACCGCCAAAUUUUCCAGUUUUUAACGGCGAAGCUAAAGCACUGCUCCAUUCGUUCUGCAAAUACCAGAAAACUCUCAAUCCUCCGAACGACGAUGAUCCACGUCAUUGGGACAUUGCCCUUUACGUAACUGGAAUGGAUCUUUUUCUAAAAUCAAAAGAACAAAUAUAUCGGAACUAUUCAACUAUGGGAAAAGCCACUGUCAGUGGCGGAUGCGAUGCAGAUAAGUCAUGCGCGCUAGUAGAAUUUCCUGUAAAAGACUUUGAUAUUGCAAUAAAAACAUCAUCUCUUGCUGCUGCUCAUGAAAUCGGUCAUCUUUUAGGAUUUAAACACGAUGAAAAGGGAAAGAAUUCAUACAUAAUGUCAAACUUAGUACGGGGUGUUACCGACUUACAAUGGUCCAAGUAUAGUCAUGACCUAAUAAAACCACUGUUGAAACAAAUGUAUCUCUCAUGUCUUCGAGAAUCUGAUGAUAUCGAUAUCUAUGACGAUUGGUGGACAUCUGACAUAUUUGAUAAUCCGCUAUAUUACGGUUUACCCGGAAGAAAAUGGACCGCCAAAGCACAAUGCGAACAAUUUUUGCGCGACGAAAAUGCGAACGUGGUCACGUUGCAUGAUAUAUGUCAAAAUUUACAAUGCGAGACGCCUAACAAAGCUGAGUCUUACUUCACUGCGCGCGCAUUAAAUGGAACUUAUUGCGCACUCGGGAAAGAAUGUCGUGGCGGAGAAUGCCUGCCCAUUAUCGAACCCCCAUUCAAUUUUAAAUUUUGUAAUACAGAUAAAUGGAGUGAAUGGAAGGAAGACGCCUGUCAAAGCGGUUGCUUGCAGAAUUCUAAAGGCGUACUAGUCAAACGACGUAUUUGCAAACAUCGGAAUAGCGAAACAACGAAUUGCGUAGGACCAUAUUACGACGUGAAUCUGUGCGAUGAUUCUUUACUCUGUUUCGGGAAACGCAAAACGAUCGACUGGUUUACUACCUUGAAAUGCAUCAAAUUCAAAUUGGCGAACGCAAAUUUAUCGAUAACAGAGCCAGGGAAACAGUAUUCUUAUGAUGCCGAAAAUCCGUGGAUAGCAUGUACCAUAUAUUGUAAACAGAGAGCAUCAUCUGAUUAUUACACACCACGCCAAGAAAUGCUCAACCUUCGUGUCGAUCCAUAUUUUCCAGAUGGAACGUGGUGUCACGAAGAAAAUGGUCAAAAUUAUUACUGCCGCCAGCAUCACUGUCUGCCGGAAAGCUACUCGCAAGAAUAAUUGUCGAAAGAUUAUCUACAUGUGUGAAUGAAAAGUAGGAGCUCCUCUUCCGCCGAUGCGUGAAAGUUCCGGCAUGGAACCCGACAGGAGCAAAAAAAAAUACGUGUGAUAUACUGUAGUGUUUUAUUUAUCGUUCAACUUUUAAAACAUUAUUCAAAAAUUACAAGUCUUCUUAAUUGUCAUCCAAUUUACGGAUACCAUUAACUUUAAAAGUUUUCGAAAAAUUAAUGCAACUGAACCUGCAGAGAAACGACCAGAUAGUAUCGUAUGCGUUUGAAGUAAGGAAAUAUCCAAAAAGUAUCACAGAAAAACAAAUAUAUUUCUUAUUGUUUUUUUUAAACUCCCAAGUAUUAGGAGUGCAUAUAUCUUUGGGUAAAAAAAAAGAAAUUUAAAAUAUU